AGUUAGUGGCGGACGGGUGAGUAACGCGUGGAAAACCUGCCGUAUACUGGGGGAUAACACUUAGAAAUAGGUGCUAAUACCGCAUAAGCGCACAGCUUCGCAUGAAGCGGUGUGAAAAACUCCGGUGGUAUACGAUGGUUCCGCGUCUGAUUAGCUAGUUGGUGGGGUAAUGGCCUACCAAGGCAACGAUCAGUAGCCGGCCUGAGAGGGUGAACGGCCACAUUGGGACUGAGACACGGCCCAAACUCCUACGGGAGGCAGCAG
rnacentral:rRNA from 1 species